rnacentral:rRNA from 1 species
GGCGAAGCCUGAUCCAGCAAUGCCGCGUGUGUGAAGAAGGCCUUCGGGUUGUAAAGCACUUUUGUCCGGAAAGAAAUGGCUCUGGUUAAUACCUGGGGUCGAUGACGGUACCGGAAGAAUAAGGACCGGCUAACUACGUGCCAGCAGCCGCGGUAAUACGUAGGGUCCAAGCGUUAAUCGGAAUUACUGGGCGUAAAGCGUGCGCAGGCGGUUGUGCAAGACCGAUGUGAAAUCCCCGAGCUUAACUUGGGAAUUGCAUUGGUGACUGCACGGCUAGAGUGUGUCAGAGGGGGGUAGAAUUCCACGUGUAGCAGUGAAAUGCGUAGAGAUGUGGAGGAAUACCGAUGGCGAAGGCAGCCCCCUGGGAUAACACUGACGCUCAUGCACGAAAGCGUGGGGAGCAAACAGGAUUAGAUACCCUGGUAGUCCACGCCCUAAACGAUGUCAACUAGUUGUUGGGGAUUCAUUUCCUUAGUAACGUAGCUAACGCGUGAAGUUGACCGCCUGGGGAGUACGGUCGCAAGAUUAAAACUCAAAGGAAUUGACGGGGACCCGCACAAGCGGUGGAUGAUGUGGAUUAAUUCGAUGCAACGCGAAAAACCUUACCUACCCUUGACAUGCCACUAACGAAGCAGAGAUGCAUUAGGUGCUCGAAAGAGAAAGUGGACACAGGUGCUGCAUGGCUGUCGUCAGCUCGUGUCGUGAGAUG